rnacentral:sRNA from 1 species
GCCAGGAGUGGUAGUGCACACCUGUGAUCCCAGCAACUCAGGAGGCUAAGGCAGGAGGAUCACAAGUGCAAAGCCAGCCUCAGCAACUUAGCAAGCCCCUGUCUCAA